AACCCCAUCAACCAGAAGGGAUUCCUUCCGGUUGAUGAGGUAUAACAACCUCAUGAACCAGAAGGGAUUCCUUCCAGUUGAUGAAGUA
rnacentral:miRNA from 1 species